rnacentral:rRNA from 1 species
UGGGGAAUCUUGCGCAAUGGACGAAAGUCUGACGCAGCGACGCCGCGUGGGCGAUGAAGGCCUUCGGGUCGUAAAGCCCUGUCAGCAGGGAGUAAGAUCGGUGACCUAACACGUCAUCGGUUUGAACGUACCUGCAGAGGAAGCACCGGCUAACUCUGUGCCAGCAGCCGCGGUAAUACAGAGGGUGCGAGCGUUGUUCGAAAUCAUUGGGCGUAAAGCGCGUGUAGGCGGUGAAGCAAGUCUGAUGUGA